GUCUUAUUGAAAAUAAUUUUAAGUCGAUCUGCCCAAUGAUAAUAUUUAAUGGCUGCAGUAUAAUUGACUGUACAAAGGUAGCAUAAUCAAUUGAUUUUUAAAUGAAAUCUGGAAUGAAAGGAUUAAUGAAAUAUAUACUGUCUCAUAUAUAUGUUAUGAAUUUAAAAUUUUAAUAAAAAUGUUAAAAUUUUUUUAUGGGACGAUAAGACCCUAUAGAAUUUUAUAUAAAAUUAAUUUUAUAUUAAAAUAAAAUUUAAUUUUAUAUUUAAUUGGGAGAAUUAUUAAAUUUAAUGAAUUUUAAUUUUGGAUAACUUUAAUUUAAGAAAAUUAGAAUUGAUCUUUAAUUUAAAAUUUAUAGAAUAAAUUACCCUUAGGGAUAACAGCGUUAUAUUUUUUUAUAGAUCAUAUAGAAAAAAAUGAUUGCGACCUCGAUGUUGAAUUAAGAUAAAUUUUAAAUGUAGAAGUUUAAUAAUUAAGUCUGUUCGACUUUUAAAAUCUUACAUGAUUUGAGUUCAAAUCGACGUAAGU
rnacentral:rRNA from 1 species